rnacentral:rRNA from 1 species
UACGAGGGGGGCAAGCGUUGUUCGGAAUUAUUGGGCGUAAAGGGUGCGUAGGCGGUUUGAUAAGUCACAUGUGAAAUCUUCGGGCUCAACCCGAAGUCUGCAUGCGAAACUGUCGGGCUUGAGUAUGGGAGAGGUGAGUGGAAUUUCCGGUGUAGCGGUGAAAUGCGUAGAUAUUCGCAAGAACACCAGUGGCGAAGGCGGCUCACUGGCCCGGUACUGACGCUGAGGCACGAAAGCGUGGGGAGCAAACAGG